GGAGAGGUGGCCGAGUGGUCGAAGGCAGCAGUUUGCUAAACUGCCGUACCGCCCAAAGCGGUACCGCGGGUUCGAAUCCCGUCCUCUCCU
rnacentral:tRNA from 1 species